rnacentral:lncRNA from 1 species
CGCCUUACCGCGGGGAUGCAGCUACUGUCUCAUUGCGGAGCGCCAGCCCACGAGUGCAGCCACUCCGGGCGCGGAACCGGAGCCGAGGGCGAGCGCGAGCGCACGGCCCGCGAGCGCCGGGAGGGCAGGAAGCGCGUCAUCACGCCACCCGGCUCCUGGGUGUCUGCACCCCGGCCGUGGGAUGGGGGCACGCGUGGAGCUGUGGUGGGGGCCACGUGUCAGAGGAACAAGGGACACCCCCGGCUGACCCAGAAUCUGGAGAGGGAUGAGGCGGCAGGGGGACCAGGCUAGCAUGAGGCCUCUGAGUCUUCUCAGCGCCGGGACCACGGGCCGGGUCCUGGAGGUUACCAGGCCUGUGAGAUUGGAGGCAGAGACAUGAUAAUCAUCCCAGAAGAGCUUGGCCCUAGGAGUCUUGGGUACACAGCACAGCCAGAGAGAAACAAGAACCUGACUCAAAAAGAUGGAAGAUGAGAAUGACUCCUGCAGUUUGUUCUCUGGCCUUCACAGGUGUGCUAUGGCAUGUACACACACACAUUUAAAUAAGG